rnacentral:lncRNA from 1 species
UAAAGAUUCCCUCUUCGGCACAGAGAUAGCAAACAAAUCUCACUGUAGAUCUGUAAUCCUUUAAGGGGAGGAAAAGAAGACAAACACCACAGGAAUCAAUUUAUUUGGCUUAUCUAAUAAGCAAAGGAGAUACAUAAGAGUGAACUUUUUAUUCAAAAACUGGAAGCCUUCUAGUUGAGACUUCUUUCUGCUUUGGUUAAGAACAUACAAUUCAAAAGCCUAAGUACAAACCUUUUGCAGUAUGACUUACUUGGGAAUGCAUACGGUACCCCUGUGCUGUGUUUCUCUGACAGAAGGCACAAUAUGCAAAAAGAACAUUCAUGACAAGCAGAAGCCAGAUCCACAAGUUGUAGUGGAUUUUUAUUUAAUUUGGGUAGGAUGUCCCCUUAGAUUUUCUCCACCGUCAUCCCUUCCCUCCAAAACAAACGAGCAAAAGCAACCAUAAAGCCAAACCAAACCAAAAACUCACAAAAGAUAGAAGCAAAAGAAACCCUUGCAAAGUAACUUCAAUAUUCAUAACAUGAAAACUGCACAUGAAAAGUAGUAAGAAGAAACAUGAGACAAACCAGUUUUUCAGUGAUGCAGGUACUUUACAAACUAGAUGUGAGAGUAGUUCCUAUUUCUCAACAACCCAUGUGUCAACCAGGAGCAAAAAAAACAACAAACUACAUGCAGCUUUAAAACAAAACAACUUCAUUCUCCCUGCCCACUUGAGGUCUAGUAAACAAAACUGUAUGUGGCAGUAAAGCUGAUCAUCUUGUCUAAAGUGCUUGAUGAAAGCAGGGAAACUGAGACAUAAAUAACUUGUCAAACUGAAAGUGGAAAAGCAACAUGGUUGUAUAAGAAAAAAAAUGGAGCACAUUCACAUUUUCUUCUUUCAUUACAAAGGACACAGUGAAAAGAUCCUUCAUAGUGAAGAGUUCCCUAAAGUGUGUAGAGUUCAUAACAUAGUUUUUCCUACAGUUCUGGGAUAUGUAGACACUUGACAUAAAACUGGGGGGCAAAAUCCCAAAGAAUAAAACGUUACAGCUAAGGAAUCAAGAUUACAGGACAUGAAUUAGUCACUAAAAAAAAAAAAAAUCUUUGGGAAAAUGCUAGUUAGUACUUUCCAUAACCUUAAAUGCCACAAUUCUACGUAUUUUACAGUAGAAAUGCAAAUGCCUUUGGAACAGAGCAAUGCUUAGUUUUCUGCAUGUCACCCCUUAAGACAUCAUCUUCUUCUUACAUUCCACUGAGCAAAAGACCAUCCCUUCCACUGGCAUAAACUUCUGGCCAAUUAAACACUUGCUACAACAGGAACACAAGAAACACUCCUGUGUAGCAUGCCAAUUGAAGUUGUUGUAGGUCACACGCUGAACCUCUGGAUCUAUAGCGUUAUGACAGCCUUGGCAGAUCGCAGCAUGUUUCUUCACAUAGCAUGGUCUGCAGACUGGCUUGUCAUUCACCAUGACAUAGAUUUCUCCAGCCAAAACACAAUCACAGUCAAAACAGCAGAAGUGUUUCAGAUGCCAGUUUUGACCUUCUGCUUGAGUAUAUUCAUUGCUGAAUAUUAGCUCAUCACAUCCAGCACAGCGGGGUUUUUCACUAUCACAAUAAUGUCUUCCACAGUACAGGUUACCAUUCUUCCAGAAAUAGAUCAUGUCUACUAGGAGUUCGCUGCAGGUACAACAGACAAAACAAGCUGGGUGCCACAAUUUGUCAUAUCCUGCACGUUCUGCAUAGACAGCUGGGUCACCUUCUUUCAUGUUCAGCUUGCAGCGAUAGCAGGAGUAUUGAGAUGCCUUCUGAUCUGCUGACUUGUCCUCCAUUGCUCCUACAGCAGCUGAGGUACUUCUGUCCCCACUGUUCACGUUAUUCUUGUCAGUUGCUUUAGUUUCCAGCUCACCAGGGAGCUUCACAUCUCCUACACCAAGUGCUUCAUUUUUGUACUUCUUCACAAAUUGUUCCAUCUGUUUAACUUCAUUGGGGGAUAGCUCAUGGCAUUUUGAAGGAUCCUGAUCGUGAGCAGGCAGCUGCUUAGCCAACUGCUUCUUCCUGUACUGAGCGCCUUCUGAGCCAGCAACAGGCUGUUUCUCCUUUGGUAGCAUCUGCAUAUACUGUCUAGCAAGUGUCUGAUUCUGAACAGGAGGAGCCCACUCAUAGGUCACAGUGUUGAUGGAUAUGUUCUUCUUGGCUGGCACUGGAUUAGUCAGAAUCAUUACGUUACGUUUAUACAUGGGAAUGCCAUCAUUUUUCAGCUUUGCAAUAAGAGUCGUAUAUUUUGUAUCUUCAAAGAGUUUCCCCACUUUCCUGUCUUCUUCAUUGCUUGUGAGGACAUCGUGCUCUUCCUGGCCACACUUGCAGUUGCGGCAUAUUUUUCUCCAGAAAUGAAGCUCAAAUCCUUCACACUUAUCCUUGCAUUUUAAGCAGGGGGCACCAAAUCCCUGUUCAUGGCCCAAGCCCAUCUUUUUCACUUUGCUUUCCAAGUCCAUAUCGCCGUCCGACCGGACACAGAGCUCAGGGUGCAGAACGAGGCUGGGGACGGCUCCUGGCCGGUGACUCGGCACCGGUGCGAGGCGGGUGAGGCGCGGGCGGUACGCCGAGGCGAAAGUGCCGGUGCCGCCCUUCACACUCCGCCGCGGCGCUCAAACUUCCGCUGCCCUGCGGCAGUGGCUGCAGCCGAACAAAGGCGGUGUGGCAGCCAAUCCCCGCCCGCCCCCCCGGCCUCGCGCUGUCAGCCAAUCGCCGCUCCGCCCUCCUGGCCCGACCCGGCCCGGCAGGGCCCCGCCCGCGGGGAGGUGCGGGUCGUGUGGAGGGCGUUUGCUGGCGCGGCCGUGCUUCCCGCGGAGGAGUAGAACUGAAUAAACCUGGGAAUCGAAGGAAUCACUAAUGGGAGAAGGAGAAAGGAGGUGAAAGCGGACCUCGUCUGCUUUCGCACUCGCCGUGCCUCCCAGACACCUUCAUGCCGACAGGGGCCCGCGUCCCACCUCGCUGCCCGCAGCCCGGCCGUACUGGGCGGCCUUCGUAACACACUGCUGGGGCUGAGCCCUCUGAGCUGCCCUAGGAGCCCGGGCUGGGGCCGUGUGCUGGCCGGUAGCCCAGGUGGGCCCCCAGCGCUGUGUAGAGCUGCUCAGGUGCCCUCUCCCCGCUGCCAGGAAAUGGCGAUGUUCUCCCAAGUGGAUUGGCUUCCACCUGGAGCGGCUUGGGAGAUCUUGGCACUCCCGGGACUGAUCUCAUCGUGUGUUAUCUCAUCGUGCUGUUUUAUAGGAGUGUCUGUUGUUUAGCCAUGGAGCUGGGCAACAUUACUUUUCUUCUGUUGGCUGUGCGUGAAUAUUGUGAUAUAAAACUUGGACUUUGAUCCCAGCCUUCAAAUUCCUAUAUGCGUGAUCAGUCAUGGAAGGCAACCAAUAGCGUAAAAAAAAACUUUAUGCAUGAUGUGUAUAUAAUAUAAAAUGUCAGAGUGAUUAAACAUCUGCGAGAUUGGUUACUUCCAUAAAUAAAUGCCUUUUGAUCUUUGGAAACAAUAGCAAACAUUCAUAGUCGUAGUGAAUAAUUUAGUAGAUCAUUUGGUCACUCAUCUGAAGAGUCUAAUCUUCUCUCUCCACGCAUACCAAUUGUUUCCAUGCCUUAGGUUGUACUAUUUCAGUAUUUCAUAUUUUUGUUGUCGUUUCAUUACUUGUUGAGAGGUGACUGCAACAAAGGGAAAAUGAGUCUGUGUCUCUUUGCUGUCUGUUAAUAGGUAGAAGGAAAAUUCUGUUUGACUUUUCUGCUGGAACGGGUAUCAUCGUGCAUGUAUUUCUACCAUAGAACCCAUGAAACAAACUUUGACCAGGAAAUUAACUAAAAAAAUGAGCGGAUCCCAAGGUUGUAUCAGAAAUAUCACAGCCAGCAGGACCGAGAAGGUGAUUGUCCUCCUACACUCAGCUCAGCUCUGGUGAGGCCAUGCCUCAAAUACUGUGUUCAGUAUUGGGCCCUUCACUGCAAGGAAGAUAUGGGGGUCCUGAGUCGUGUUCAAAGAAGGACGAUGAAGUUGUGAAGGGUCUGAAGCAUUGGAAUUAUGAGAAGUGGCUGAGGGAGCUGAGAUUAUUCAGCCUGGGGAAGAGGAGGCUUAGGGGUAACAUCAUCGCUCUCUACAACCACCUGAUAGGAGGUUAUAGUGAAGUGGGGGUUGGUCUCUUAUUCCCUGGUGAUAGUGAUAGAAUGAGAGAUAAUGGCCUCAGAUUGCACCAGGGGAGGUUCAGGUUGGAUACUAGGAAAAUCUUCUCUGAAAGAGUAGCGCUGCAUUGGAGCAGGUUGCCUGGAGGGGUGAUGGAGUCACAGUCCCUGGAUGUAUUAACAAACAUGGAGAGGUGGCACUGAAGAACAUGGUUUAUUGGACGUGAUGGUGAUGGGCUGAUGAUUGAACUGGGUGAUCUUAGUGGUCUUUUCCAACCUAACUGAUUCGAUGAUUCUAAGCUGUAACAUUGAAAAAAAAAAUAGAGGUCAUGGGCCGUCAGGUGAUUUUGUUGUGCUCAGUGUGUUUCUGCUCAGAAGAGGUGGAAAAGAGCUGUUGUGUAAAUUUCCUUUGAAAUUUUGUUUUUCAUUUCUUUCUCUCAUUCUGUAUGUGCAUGUGUGUGUGUAUUUGUCAUUCCUUCCUGCUGUUUUGAUGGAUGAAAGGCAAGUUAAAGUGCCUGAAAUACUGGUAAGCCUGCAACCAAUAUUUUUUGAAUGCCAUCCAUACUCAUAACUUCUUCAGACAAAGAUCAAAGGACUGAGCAGGAGGUCUUGUCUGUGCAGUGAAUGCAGUCAUGAAUGAUCUCAUGUAACAGUGAAAAAUGCCAAUAAUUACAAAGACAUUCUAGGGACCUUUGUGCUAAGCAGAGGAAUGAAAAUCACAUAGUCUUCAUUAUAUACUUUUCAUAAGGGAAUAGAUGUAGAACCAUAUGUUCACUGUGGGAAG